rnacentral:tRNA from 1 species
GUGUGUAUAGCUCAGGGGUAGAACACAUGCUUAGCAUGCAAGAGGUCCUGGGUUCAAUCCCUAGUACCUCCA